rnacentral:ncRNA from 1 species
UGAAAAUCGAAGAAUAAGAGUAGUAAGCUUAAGUGAAGCUUUACAGAGAGCCCGGGAAAGGUGAGACCCUGGCAGGAUAGCUUAAGAUGAAUGGACUUAUGAGAGAUGACUUGAACAAUGCAGUAGGGUCAUACGGGUUUCCUCCGUUAUAAGGAUAGAAUAUCGGGUUUUCAUGACCCCGUAUUCGAAAAGAAGAGGGAGUAAGUUUCUUACUCCAACCUGAGGUGGCACCGCGGUCAGCAUCGUCCUCUAU